rnacentral:lncRNA from 1 species
AGCUUCCGGAGCAGCUGGGACUGCUGGCGCCCGCCACUACGCUCGGCUAAUUUUUUUGUGUUUUUAGUAGAGACGGGCUUUCACCGUGUUGGCCUAGCGGUUCUCCAACUCCUGACCUCAUGAUCCCCCCGCCUCAGCCUCCCAAAGUGCUGGGAUUACAAGCGUGAGCCACCGCGACCCGCCAACACUCUUGACAACAGUGCUGUGCUAAGAACUUGGGGGACUUCAAAAAGUUCACCAGUUCCUGUGUCCAUGGGUGAAAAGAUUUUCUACAUCUUUCCUUGACUAGAAACAGAAGUCCUGAAACAAGAAUAUAACGUCAGGAGGCCAGAGGCUUUGUCCUGCCUAAUGUGUUAUUUCCACACUGAAUAAAAGCACCUGAGUCCUGGUCUCAGAGUGAGAACAAUGUCUUCUAUGAUGAGUGGCAAACACAACAAGGCAUUUUAAAAAGGUUGUACAUCUAGCAAUACCUAACAAAAUAGGAAAUCAACUUGAGAAAAAGCAGCAAGGCCAAAUAAAUUGAUACAGAAGAAAUGUUUAGAUAUGUUUUUGCAAGUUUCUGCAUAUCUGAAA